GGGAAGAGGUUCUACUACUAUGUUGUAGAGCGUGGGGAAGAGGUUCUACUACUAUGCUGUAGAGCGUGGGGAAGAGGUUCUACUAUAUAUGCUGUAGAGCGUGGGGAAGAGGUUCUACUAUAUAUGCU